GAUGAACGCUGGCGGCGUGCCUAAUACAUGCAAGUCGAGCGAACAGACGAGGAGCUUGCUCCUCUGACGUUAGCGGCGGACGGGUGAGUAACACGUGGAUAACCUACCUAUAAGACUGGGAUAACUUCGGGAAACCGGAGCUAAUACCGGAUAAUAUAUUGAACCGCAUGGUUCAAUAGUGAAAGACGGUUUUGCUGUCACUUAUAGAUGGAUCCGCGCCGCAUUAGCUAGUUGGUAAGGUAACGGCUUACCAAGGCAACGAUGCGUAGCCGACGUGAGAGGGUGAUAGGCCACACGGGAAGUGAGACACGGUCCAGACUCCUACGGGAGGCAGCAGUAGGGAAUCUUCCGCAAUGGGCGAAAGCCUGACGGAGCAACGCCGAGUGAGUGAUGAAGGUCUUCGGAUCGUAAAACUCUGUUAUGAGGGAAGAACAAAUGUGUAAGUAACUAUGCACGUCUUGACGGUACCUAAUCAGAAAGCCACGGCUAACUACGUG
rnacentral:rRNA from 1 species